UACGUAGGGUGCAAGCGUUGUCCGGAAUUAUUGGGCGUAAAGAGCUCGUAGGCGGCUUGUCGCGUCGGCUGUGAAAACCUGGGGCUCAACCCCGGGCCUGCAGCCGAUACGGGCAAGCUAGAAUUCGGUAGGGGAGACUGGAAUUCCUGGUGUAGCGGUGAAAUGCGUAGAUAUCAGGAGGAACACCGGUGGUGUAGGCGGCUCACUGGACCGUAACUGACGCUGAGACACGAAAGCUAGGGGAGCAAACAGG
rnacentral:rRNA from 1 species